UAAUCAUUAGUUUCUUAAUUAGGAGCUGGUAUGAAAGGUUGGACGAGGGAAUUUCUGUCUCAUAUUAAUUUGUGUUAGAAUUUUAUUUUUAAGUUAAAAAGCUUAAAUGAUUUUAGAAGACGAGAAGACCCUAUAGAGUUUUAUAAUGAUUUUUAUAAGGGUAAAUUUGGAUUAAAAUAUCCUUAUUAAAAUUAAUAUUUUAUUGGGGUGAUAGGAAAAUUAAAGAAACUUUUCUUUUUAAAGAACAUAGAUUUAUGAACAUAUGAUCCAGAAUUUUUGAUUAUAAGAUUAAAUUACCUUAGGGAUAACAGCGUUAUUUUACUAGAGAGUUCAAAUCGAAAGUAAAGGUUGCGACCUCGAUGUUGGAUUAAAAUUUAUUAUUGGUGUAGAAGCUGGUAAAUUAAGUCUGUUCGACUUUUAAAAUUUU
rnacentral:rRNA from 1 species